AACGAACGCUGGCGGCAGGCUUAACACAUGCAAGUCGAACGCAUCCUUCGGGGUGAGUGGCAGACGGGUGAGUAACGCGUGGGAAUCUACCCUGAUCUGCGGGAUAGCUCCGGGAAACUGGAAUUAAUACCGCAUAUGUCCUGAGGGACAAAGAUUCAUCGGUUCAGUGUGAGCCCGCGUCCGAUUAGCUAGUUGGUGGGGUAAAGGCCUACCAAGGCGACGGUCGGUAGCUGGUCUAAGAUGAUGAGCAGCCACAUUGGGACUGAGACACGGCCCAAAGUCCUACGGGGGGAAGCGGUGGGGAAUAUGGGACAAUGGGCGCAAGCCUGAUCCAGCCAUGCCGCAGGAGUGAUGAAGGCCUUCGGGUUGUAAAGCUCUUUCGCACACGACGAUGAUGACGGUAGUGUGAGAAGAAGCCCCGGCUAACUUCGUGCCAGCCGCCGCCGUAA
rnacentral:rRNA from 1 species